rnacentral:tRNA from 1 species
UAUAUGUAAAUGUAAAUUUGCAUGAUAAUUUUUGAAAUUAUUUGAAUUAAAUAAUAAUUAAUAUAUAUAA